GAGAGGGGUGGCAGUGCUGCGACCGCGUGCGUACUGCCCUGCCAAGACCGCAUCCCACGCACACGCACGCUUAUACUUGCUCUGAAAAACGGCCACACACACACACACUCGACGGCCCAUCGCUCGAUCGCAAGAGCGGAACGAAUGCGAAAAGGGCCACCAAGAGUUAAGCCGAUAUCGCCGCUGCCGCAGCAGCAGCAGGGCUCCUCGCAAGCGCGCACGCGCACGCGCAAACAGACACAUAGAAUCACCAGUCACUGAUAUUCUCUACAAAUUCUCUCGCGCAUGCGGACGUACGCAUAGACCGAUUUCGCAAACGCACUCACGCCACGCACCAUCAUCGCCCGCGCGCACACUCAGAGAAAGAGAAAGAGGCAGGCCGCUAGAUACGCAGAGUCGUCGCUGCCUUUGUACGUCUACGCGAACAACACACGCCGACGGACGGACGAGUAGACAGACAGACAGACAGACAGACAGGCGCGCACAGAAGGGCGCCAUGCCGAGGCUGCACGCCAUCUCGCAGGGUAUGUGGCAUCACAUUCAGCAACAGCAGCAGCAGCAACGUCCGGCACGGCAGAUGCAACUUGCUGAGCCGAACAUCGGCGGCGUCCCGGCGCAGCUGUCGCCGAUGGCAACGCCGGCCCCCACACGAGUGCGAAUGGUGUGUGUGCAGGAAGGCGAAAACAGAACGGUACUGGUGCAGGAAAGCCCCCGCAUCGACCACACUCAGAAAUCGCACUCACAGCAGCCACAUCCGGAUUCAGAGGAGUCCCACGUACGCUCAGCUGCGCGCUUGAUGCACCGCAGCGGCAGGACAGCGCUACCACUGCCGCAUGGCGCGCUCACAAACUCGGAGGUGGCUGUCUGUGGCGAUGAUGCAGAAAAUGGUUUCCACAGAAGACGAGAGCGGCGACCGCGGUUACCCUCACCACGAACCUCGCGCACGCUGGAGGAGUUGUUUAACGAGGAGCUGAUUGCAGAGGAGCAGCGCGUGGCGCUCUUGUCGGCGCACCAGCUCACCAUUACGGCGGGAGAAGAGGAUCUGUUCUCGAAAGCUCCGACUCGCUCGUACAGCAGCAUCGUGGAAGCCGGGCAGCGGGUCAUGGCGAUGACGAACGCGUCCAGCCGAACCACGCGGCGUCAGUGUACGGUCGACGCGCCGCUGCCAACGCCUAGCGAGGCUAGUGCGGUGGUGAGAGCUGUGCCUCACACGUGCCUGGAGCCGCUGCGGGUGUGGCUGCCAAGGCGCGUGGAAGCGCUUUCCGCGCUGACAUGUGAGGGCAGUCCGCCAAUCACGCGCGUCGCGGCGAGCGGCGACCGCAGCCAAGCGCGAACUCGCGCAGGCGACGGUGAUGACGGCUUCCCAGUCGCUCUGUGGCGCCGCACACCGUGCAGCACACCGCCGCGCGCAGGGGUGGCAAUGGCCGAUGCAGACGGCGCACCUACGUCGCUGCUGUCGUCUCCGCACUGGUGCGUGACGGCUUAUGAGCCGCUGAGCCUGUCACUACCGGCGACGGCGCGGUGUGCCGACGGCGAUAGUGAAGGGCCGGUGCUUCAGCAGGCACCUAUCAGCACCACCACCCUUACUCAUCUCAGCAGCACUGUGGACAGCAGCAUUCUGGGCCGCAGCGGCGCUCGCGAAGGCGAUGACGCGGUGAACGGCGCGGAAGACGAUGAAGAGGCUGCUGCGGUGGGUGCCUGCCGUGAUCAUCGUCCACCCACAGCGAUGGCGUCAGCGCACGGCUCAGCACCCACUACCACGGCGGUGACGCGGGUGUACUGGGGUGCUGCUCCACCGUUGAGAGGGAUGGCGCCGAGUGUUCUGCACCACGGCGGCGCGAGUGGCAUGGGUGCUGAUGGCGAUGCUGGUGAUGCAGGCGGCGACGGUGCGGCCUUCGCAGGCCGCAGGAGCUCUGGUCAGAACAUUCUCAGCAGUGUGCAAGGCGGCGCAAGGGGCUAUGAUGGCGUUGGCGCGCGUCCUUCACGCAGCUCCGCCACCGCUGCAGUUGAUCGCCAUGAGCCGUUCUGUGAGCUGCCAUCUUCGCUGUUGCCCGUGAUGCGCCGGCGACCACCCGCCGUCCCGGGCCCCGACGCGUGUGUGCCGCCGCAGUCGAUGGAGCUGCGGAUCACCCUUCCCUGGUUGCUGCACACCUCCACGCUUCCGCCGGUUGCGGCCGAAGUGCUGGCACGCUGUCUGGGGGCACACAUCAGAGCGCAUCUGCGACCAGAGGGGGCAGCGCAGUGGAGGCAGGAUGGUGCGUGCCGCCCUCGACUCAGCGGGACAUGCGCACCGGGGCCUGCAGCGGCACGUCCACAGCCCAUGUCUUCACGGAGGGAUGACCCACCGCCGUGCUGGGUGGCGGCCUUUGCGUACACGGAGGGGAUUCAGAUGUACGCGACGAAUCACGCCGCGUCCCUCGUCCACGCCAAGGAGAGCACCGAAGGGUUCGAGGCGUCUCGCGAUUACCAGGCAAGCCCGCGUCACGACCCUUGCGGUCUCGCCCCAGAGGCGCCGCUAGAACGCAUCUCCUGGCCUGCGUGGGUGCCGGAUGCGCAGACGAGUGUCCGCAUGCUCGCCGCGCUCACCUCGGGUGCCUUCCAGCUGAUCGAGGCGAUCGCGCGAGCCCUCGGCCAGGCGGCCGCUGCUGGCAACUGUUCUGCUGCUGCUGCGCUGGCAGACAUGGAUACAGCGGAAGAAGGCAACACUGAAGCCCGCAGUGUCCGAAGGUCCGCAUGCAACGCAGGAGGUCAGCUGCACAUCGGCGGUGGCACGUCACGCUCCUCCACGACGCUCUCUCGAGAUCCCGCCACCGUGCUGCAUCAGUUUCAUGUCUUCUCUGAGGCCAUCUUCGGUGAUGCGGCCAACAAGCGUCUUUGCCGACAUGUCCGCGAUCGCCUCCCGCUGCACGUGCAGGACUUGAGCGAGUUGUUGAGUCGGCCGUGGUGCGGCGGCGCAAGGGAAGACGAGGACGGCGAUGUGGCCACCACCACAACUGCCGUCGCCGCUACCGGCGUGUGGCGUGCUCGCUGCCCCUCCAUGCUGGAUCUUGUGCACCACCUCGCCCGUGCGUGGAUGGCGGAGUGCUUUACCGGCCUGGCGAACCGGCUGCACGCGUUCCUGACCACCCACGAUCCCGGCGUCGUGUUCGACCUCAUCAGUGCACGUGCGAACGACAGCGACGACGCCGUGCCCCAUGACAGCCUCUGCAACUGUGCGAGGCUGCUGAAGAGGAUGUGUACCGAGGAGUGUGGUGAGAACGCCUGUGCGCAUCAGCGGGGUCCCGCUCCGGCGCGCGAGCGGCACUGCGACCAGCGCGAACGCCAUGACUGCUCAGUUCACUCGCGCGCAGUGCCGGGAGCCGCGACCGCAGCCGCGUCGGUGCUCCCGCCACAUGCGUUGAUCUACCGAGGCGUCGCAGAGUUCACCCACGGGCCUCUGCAGCGGUGGGAGCGGUGGUGGUGGUCACCGUCGUCGACCCCUGCCGCACAUUCCCUGGCCACCAACACUACUGCCAGCGUCGUGGCCAUGCAAUGGUCAACUCACGUCAACUACGCCACCGUGCGCUCCCUCCAGUGGGUGCUACGCCACCCUCUCGACGCGCACGCGGUCGCAGAUGGUGCGCGGCAGUCCGCAUCGAACCUGGCUGCUGUCACGGACAUGCGGGCGCUGCUGGAGCUGCUAACAUUGAUGCCGCCGCUCCUGGACACGACGGCGCUGCUGAUGUACGAGGCGGAGGCGGUGCUACGCGGCGCCUGCGCUUGCGUGAUGGGAAACGCCGGCGAUCGCGGUGGCGGUGGUACGGCGAUCAUGACGAGCGGCGCGCACAGCCACAACGCUAUCACCACCGGCAUCCGAGCAACGCCGUCGCGCGCCGCGACGCAAGGGUUCCACGCGUACUACCGCGUCUUCCUCGGACUUGUGUGCUACGGUGCAAUGCAGCUGAGCGACGCUGAGGGCAUGGCGCUGCUGUCACGGCCGCGGCUGCAGCCAACGGGCGUGGAGCCCUCGACGGCAGCGCCCCACCACCGUGACGCUGCAUCGCCUUUGCCAGAGCUGCGUUCAGCACAGGCUACCGUGGACGGUCUGUGGACAAGGUACAUACUGCCGCUCGUGGUGGGUUACGUCAGCGGCAGCGGUACAGGGGCUGCGCCCGCAGCUCGCAUGGAUGCGUUGACAGCCGCGGAUCAGUGCAUCACGUACGCACUGAUGCUGCUGCAGCUGCUGCGGCUUGAAGGGCGAAGCGCGCGCCAUGGUGGCCGCGGAUGUGCACAAAACCCCGCCCUCCCAAAUGGAGCCCAGCAGGAUGUGCCUAACUGCGGCGUGUCGUCGUCGUCGCGGCACCGACGCAAGCGUGCCCGCUCCUCCGCUGUGGGAGGGCCGGAACCGCAUCCAUGGGGCAACUCACGGAGCGCUGGCUCGUGUGGCGAAGACGCUCGGCCGAGGUGGUGGGCACCAUCACCGACAACCGCGGAUGAGCACCCCGCCACCGCUCGCUCCCCGCGGCCGGAGAGCGUUUCCAGCUCCGCCUUCACCGCAGAUACAGCGACGACGACAACAACAACGGCCACAACGCGCCGGUGCGCCAACAGCGGUCUUGACAGCAUCAACGAGCUCGAGCGAGUUGGCGCGACUACGACGGAAUCGCAAUACAUGGCAGCGCCGGCGUUCGCCCACGCUCCGCGGCCCGGUCACAGAGACGAGCAGAGCGUUGCACCCAACGCCGCCAGCGGCGCGGUGGACGGCAUCGUGGGCAUGUCGCCCAAGGAGCAGACGGCUCCCUCGCCGCAUCGCAUCCCUCCCCUGGAGCUUCUCGCUCAAGGAGACGCGGGAGAAGCAGCAGCAGCAGCAGCCACACCGCAGUGUCCUCCCUGUCCUGCGCCUCCACCCGAUUGGCAGGGUGUGUGCCGGCAGCUGAUUCGCCGUUGGCUGCAGCCGACGAGCGACUGUCAUGGUCGCGGUUGUCGGGCGUCGAACUUCGCCGAAGGGGCGGCGCAGCAUCCGAAGGCCGAUGACAGUGCCGCCGUUAGAGCAAACUGCUUUCCAGGCGGGCGGUCACAGUUGCUCGAUAUCUGCGAGGCAGGCGGUGGCCACACUCUGCACCGUCGCGAUGUCCGUCGCGUCGGCGCUCUUUUGGCGGGCCUGGCGCUACGCGUCGCGGCCGUCCGUGAGGAGGAACAGGGCGCGCACGCCGUAAGCCCCCACAGCGACGGUACUGGAUGCUGCUAUGAUUACCUCUACGGCGUGCUGCCGCCUGGACUGCGCGCAAGGGACGCUGGCCUCAUCACCGUCGCCUCCACCUCCAGUUCUGACGACGGCGAGGAUAGCGACACGGACAGUGCAGGGGAGAAUGCAGAGACGGAUGACAACCCCUGCAAUGUAAACAUCCUGCACUGUGUUGCGUCCACAAUCAGCACCAGCAGCAGCAGCAGCAACACCCUCGGCACCACCCCUUCGGCGGCAUUGGUGUCGCCGCUAUCGUCAUCCCUGUCAACAUCGCCGUGACGCAGUAUCCGAGCGAGGCGGAGCGGACCUCAGCGCAGCGCCGCUUGUUGCUCAGCUCUGCGUUGGCUUGUUCUUCUUCUGCCUCCCCCCCCUCCUCGACUUCAGUGGAUCGCCUUUACUGCGCUGCGUCAGGACACGUACACGCACGUGCACGGACUGACGCCACCUAUUUACCGUGUUGCACACAUGCACGCAACCGUUUCCGUCGCAAGCCUGCGCUGGCCUCUUGGGUUAGUUGGUUAGCUUGCUGAUGUUUCGCUUUCAUCUUCUUUGUUGGGGUCUUCGCCUUCGUCUCGCCCACCCGCCUCUGUCGUGCCGUCUUCUCUGGCGCAUGGGUGUGAUGUACGUGUUGCACGGCCCCGGUCCCGCGCAUAUCAG
rnacentral:misc_RNA from 1 species